rnacentral:lncRNA from 1 species
CUGAGCUUAACUAACACCUGGCACAGAGAAGAAACAUAUUAAGGAUUUGCUGAGAGAAUAAGAUAGUAUAACUUGGUCUUAUAUCUAAGGUUUGAUUUUCUAGGAACCUAUAGUGAAUUUUAGGCUUGCUUUUCAGUUUUUGUAGCAGGGAUGUAGCACAGGUUUGGGACUCAGCACACCUAGUCCGAAAGCUGAUUUCUGUCACAGCAUGCAUGAGGGACAGUCUCUUCAGUUUAUUUAUACCUUAGUGCUGUGAUUCUCGAGCUUAUAGACACUGUGAGGACAGAAUUUUAGCUCUUCAAACAAAGGGGGGCAAAUAUACAGUGACCUCUAUCUAUGUAGGUAUUUAACUGAAAGGAAUUCCAGGGCCAAGUGUGUCUACUAUUAGAAGAAACAUACUUUUCUUACAAUGUAGUCCCUGAAUGCAAAUCAUGGUUUUAUCUGGUGGGCAACUGAAGAAACAGCAAUCUGAACUGAUAUGGGAGGCAGACCUCACUGUAACAGGAUUAGUGAGAAACAGUGUUUGUGGCUCUUAAUUGCUCAUUUUUUUUUUAAUGGGGGAUGUUAGGGAUUUUCUAAGGGCAGGUUUAUCCAUAUGCAGAGUUGAUGUUAGGAUGUAAAACCACAAAGAUGUAAUUAACUCCUCUGUUUGUGGUCUCCAUGUUAAUUCACUCUCAUAAGAGGGUAUGCAGUGUGGUCACUAUUCUACCACCAUUUUUAAGAAAAAAUUUAAAACUAUUUUUUAUCUUCCAAAUUAAAUAUUUUGCUAUUUGAUAAGUUAACAAUGCAAUAGAAAAUCAAUAUAACUUUUAUCUUUACCAGAAGCCAUAAAAGUCUAUCUAGGAAAAUUUCAGAUGUGUGAACAUGGCUUUAGAGAAGGAACUCAACUACAGACUAUAAGAAAUGUAAAACCAAGCCAGGUUCCUGUUGUGGUCCUUUAUUAUGACCUGGUGACCUAAGCUAGAGAAUCACAGCACUAAGGUAUAAGUAAACCAAAUAGCAUGCAUUGGCUUUAGUUCAGAAGGGGAUUUUUGCGCAGAAAAUAAAUUGAAAGUAGGGGCUCUGGCCAGCAUAAACAGAUAAGAAAAAAGUAUGAUUCCCUACGUCUCAAAAAUGACUCCUUCACACAUCCCACCAAUCAAAGAUCCAUUUGGAAUAACAGGUCUUCUAAAAGCUGCCAUAGAAGUUAAGCCUCCUACCACCUAUACUUCUGUGUGAAUUGAUUUAGUCUGCAGGCAUUUUGAUUGCUUUUCUCCUAACACCUAACUUAGAAGGUGAAAUAGAGGUCUUGUUUGGAGGGAAUUGAAGAAGGAAAAGGAAAGGGCAAUUUCAGAUCAAGGGAUAUGUUGGAAUGGUGGAAAAGUAGGAUCAUUAGGACAGCUGGGAACAGUCUUUUAGCUCUUGGAAGCCAGGAAAAAGAUGUAGAGAGAAGGGCAGAAGUGGUCAAGGCUCCAUGAAAAGGAGGAUGUAGCAGUCAAAUUGGAUGUCAACCAUGCAACAAUGACGUCAGGAACCCCGCUUGGUAUACCAUCGAAUAACACCUAUGAUCAUCCUGUAACUGCUGAUGCUGCCUCAUUGCUCUGCUCCAUUGCCUCACCCCAAGCCUUCAAAGUCAUCUCCUACUCU